rnacentral:lncRNA from 1 species
AUGUUUUGUCCAGUCUCCUAUUAUAGUGCCUUCUUUUACUUGGUGCAUAUUGAAAAUGUUCUUGCACUGAAGGGAACAGGUGAUAUGUUCCUUGAGCUAUUUUCCAGUGCCUGCUCUUUGAUGCCGAUAUUUCUUGUUUGUGUGUCCUCCAGGAGACAUUUUCAGUUCCUUUCCUUUUGUCAGUUUAAUAAGAAGUGACAUGAUAAAAACUGGUGGUGAUCAAAAGGCUACAGUAUAUCAGUUUGGCAAGAGAUGGGAUUUUAUGGUAUAUAGUUGUACUUGGCUAUUCAUCAUGUGAUGCUUUCAGUAGAAUUCCCCCUCUCCACCCCACCAAAGAGCAGAAAGAACAGUCUCAAAUAAAGUAAGAUUUAUGUAAGACA